GAUGAAGAACGUAGCGAAAUGCGAUACGUAAUGUGAAUUGCAGAAUUCAGUGAAUCAUCGAAUCUUUGAACGCAUAUUGCGCUCUCUGGUAUUCCGGAGAGCAUGCUUGUUUGAGUAUCAGUAAACACCUCAACUUCCAUAUCUUUUUUUGAAAUGGGAGUUGGACUUGAGUGAUCCCAACGCUUUUCCUCACCGAAAAGUGGCGGGUUACUUGAAAUGCAGGUGCAGCUGGACUUUUCUCUGAGCUAUAAGCAUAUCUAUUUAGUCUGCCUAAAAAACAGAUUAUUACCUUUGCUGCAGCUAACAUAAAGGAGAUUAGUUCUUGUGCUGACUGAUGCAGGAUUCACAAAGACAGCUUCGGCCGACUUUGUAAACUCGAUCUCAAAUCAAGUAAGACUACCCGCUGAACUUAAGCAUAUUCAAUAAGCGGAGGA
rnacentral:misc_RNA from 1 species